AUGUCUAUUCUCACUAACUGGAAGGUCCUCUUCCACAGCCUAUCCACAAGGAAAACGCCUCUUUACCUUUCAGUCUUUCAUUAUCAAGUCUCAGAAAUCUCCCUCUUAGUCACCCCCCCAACAUGCACAUUGCCCUCGGCAGACAGCUGGUUGUGCCCUGCUAUAUGCCAUCACCUCUGCCCCCUGCACCCAAGAGAUGGUAUUUGUCACACUAACCUCUAUUCACUUGUUUUUUUUUGUUUUUGUUUGUUUGUGUUNNNNNNNNNNNNNNNNNNNNNNNNNNNNNNNNNNNNNNNNNNNNNUUUUUUUUUUUUUUUUUUUUUUGUCUUUUUGUCUUUUUGCCUUUUUAGGGCUGCACCUGCGGCAUAUGGAAGUUACUGGGCCAGGGGUCUAAUCAAAGCUGUAGCCGUCAGCCUACACCACAGCCAUAGCAAUACCAGAUCCAAGCCGCAUCUGCGACCUACGCCAUAGCUCAGGGCAAAGCCAGAUCCUAGACCCUCUGAGCAAGGCCAGGGAUCAAACCCUCAACCUCAUGGUUCCUAAUCAGAUUUGUUUUCGCUGCGCCGUGGUGGGAACUCCCAAUGCCACUUUUUUUUUUUAAUUAAUCUUUUUAGAAAAAAUACCAAAGAUCAUAUUUUUACCAACAGCAAUUUCAAACGUGUCUUUUGGAUAUAUCCCAAUUUAUAACUAUUGAUGACUUAAGAAUUUAACUUGACUUUCUUUUUUGCAUAAGUACUCUAAAAUGUUUAGAGGGUUAUUCUAAAUUAUUCCAAACACAUUGAGAUAUUUGAAAAUCAGUACAUUAUAGCUUAAGUAUAGAGAGUUAGUUAUUUCGCAUACAAAUCCUAUGGAUGUUUUGAGUGAAGAAUCAAAAUAUUUACAUACCUGUAUAUUUUAAGAUCCCCUGUGUCUUACACUAACUUCCAUCUCACUUCGAAAGAAGGGUUCUUCCAGAUAAAGAGAAAAGUGAAAUCAGAGCCUGGGAUCCACCUUGGCAAAACCUUGCCAGCAUCUUGGGAAGCAUUUCAUCAGUUUCAGAAGGCUAACACAGCCCCAGGAAGUCUCAGCUUCUGAGGCAGAGUUUACCCGAGUUCCAUCCUUAUCUGACCUAGCUCCCGGGGCUAUCACUCAGAGGCCGCAUUCCACAAAAGAAUCUUAAACCCAUGUGAAAUAACCCUGAAAUGUCAUGCCCUAAGCAUAGACCUGAGGGCUGGAUAAACCUAGGGCUCAGGUAAACACACAAGCAUUGAAGUACAAACUUAAACUAGGUCCCCCUCCAUCUAUGACAUAACUUUAAUGACAAAUUAAAAUCAACAAAAAUGCUUGAACGAGGACAAAUUUGAAAUCUAUUUGGGAAACUUGCUUUUAUGUGUAUACAUUCUUGGAAAAAAAAAAAAAAAAGAUGAAAAUUUCCCAGAUGUUGUGGAUCGGGUAAAUGUCCAGCUGCUUUCAAUUACUGGAGAAGCAGGAGCGCCUCUUUUGACAGAGCACCUCCACGUAUAAUUUAAAUUCCAUGAUUCAGGAAGUUUAAUUAGACGAAGGAGAAGUACCCUGUACUGAUGUGUUUCAUCAUCAAUCUCUCCAAUUAGAGUCAUUAACUAAUAUGCCAGGAAAUCUUCUAGUCCUUGGGAUGCAAAGCGUAUGAAAGCCUCACUGGGUUUCUUUUUCUUCCAUUUUCUCCUUUCGUAUCAAUUUUUCCAUACUUGAUUAAUUUCAACCAAAGUACAUAUUUGUAACAUAUCUCCCUCCUGAAAUAUAAAGUAACACACAUUUUUUUAAGUGACCAUUUUCUCUUUUUUCAGGCUGUGAUUAAAAAAUUUUUCUCUUCUAUUCCAGAUAGUAGAGCAUCUGUUUUAAAUAUAAUACUUUUGGUCGAGUUCCCGCCCACAUUUUUGUUAAGUGAUACAUCUGCUUAUUUGUUCAUCUUGAGCUGGUUCAUCUUGAAAUGAUGUCUGAUUCUUUGAAAUAUGAAAACAUAUAUGAGGAAAUGACCAUAUUAUUCAUAUUUAGAAUAUUAUGUUUAUGGAGAUACACAUUUGUGGUAAAAAGAUUUAAGACAGGCAAGAGAACUUCGGGACACGAGCUAGCUCCCAAGAGGGAGGGAAAAGAUGGGCUUUUCUCUGUUGUAGCAUGUUAUGGCUUUCACACACACAAAAAAAAAGUCUGAAGCAACUAUGACAUAUUAUUAACAUCCAUUAAAUCUGGUAUUAGGGGUAGAGGCCAUGAACUGCCAUUAAAAAGAGCCGCAGAAACCUCAGGAAGAAAUCGGAUGCCUAAUUCACAGCAACUGUAAAGAUAGAAAACAUGAAAUGAAUGAAUGCCAUAAGGUAGACGGUAUCGUGGUGCAGCAGGCAAAGACCUGGCUUUGCAUCCCAGCUCUGCCACUUUGUAGAUACAAAUGAGGACAAGCUAGAGAAUCCCCCUGAGCCACAACCUCUCUACUUGUAGAAGGAGGACAAUAGCAUUGACUUUAUGGUUAUAAAGAGUGUUGUGUCACUGUACAUACAGAAUGCAAAACUAUCAGAUCCUUAAUCUUGACAGAUAGGGUGAUGAUCAAUUUAUCAAAAAGCCUUAAAUUCACUUCUAAAUUGAUUUCUAGAUUUAUCGAAUUUUUAAAACACUUCCAACAAACACAUUUCAAUAUUCCUCACUGAAACACUUUAUAAAGUAAUCCAAGCAGUGAGAUGCUAGGGUGAGAAUGGAUUACGUUACAAGGGAUCUGAAUACAGAGAGAAUUGAUAUAGAAGAUGGAGAAUGAAGCAGACUGUAUGUGGAAAUGAGGUACUGGAGAUAACGCUCCUUAAUUGUUUUUUGAUUUUUUUUUUUUUUGUCUUUUGUUGUUGUUGUUGUUGUUGUUGUUGUUGUUGCUAUUUCUUGGGCCGCUCCCGCGGCAUAAGGAGGUUCCCAGGCUAGGGGUCGAAUCAGAGCUGUAGCCACCGGCCUACGCCAGAGCCACAGCAACGCGGGAUCCGAGCCGCGUCUGCAACCUACACCACAGCUCACGGCAACGCCGGAUCAUUAACCCACUGAGCAAGGGCAGAGACCGAACCCGCAACCUCAUGGUUCCUAGUCGGAUUCGUUAACCACUGCACCACGACGGGAACUCCUGUUUUCUAACGAAUCCAAGGGGAAAAAAAAGAGGAAGUCAAUUGAAUGGUCUGACAACCCAGAAGGGAGAGAAAGGGAAAAUGAAUUAUUGCUUUCACAGGUGUUAUCACAUUUAACACUCUUAAUAAAACUCAGAGGUUACACA
rnacentral:lncRNA from 1 species